rnacentral:rRNA from 1 species
GACGAACGCUGGCGGCGUGCUUAACACAUGCAAGUCGAACGGAAAGGCCUUUUCGGAGGUACUCGAGUGGCGAACGGGUGAGUAACACGUGGGUGAUCUGCCCUGCACUCUGGGAUAAGCGUGGGAAACUGGGUCUAAUACCGGAUAGGACCGCACUUUAGUGUGUGUGGUGGAAAGUUUUUUCGGUGUAGGAUGAGCCCGCGGCCUAUAAGCUUGUUGGUGGGGUAAUGGCCUACCAAGGCGGCGACAGGCAGCACGACUCUGAGGUUGGGCGGCGACACUGGGACUGAGAGGCGGCACAGACGCCGACGGGAGGCAGCAGUGGGGAAGAUUGCACAAUGGGCGCAGGCCUGAUGCAGCGACGCCGCGUGUGGGAUGACGGCCUUCGUGUUGAAAACUCCUUUCGCCAGGGACGAUGCGUUUUGUGACGGUACCUGGAGAAGAAGCACCGACUAACUACGUG